CUUUAAUGAUUAUGGGUGAUGAGAGAGAGAACGCUUCAUCACUACAAUCGAUAAACUUUAAUGGCAGAAAUAUCUAUCUCAUCCCUAUCAAUCCCUUUGGUUUCUCCGUAGCGUCGUUCCUUUUUCUCACAAUCUCUUCGAGUUCUCACCUCCUUGAUAUUUCUUCAACCGACGUUCGACGGGUCCUCUAAUCGGUCGUUCCUUCCACGUUAGUCUGAUUUUACGAUGGUCUCUGAAGGUGUGUUAAUCUCUGGAACCAUCAUUCAAAUUCCCAGUCACGUACAUCCCCAAAAGCACCGCCGCGAAGUACGUCUUUUACGAGAAUCCGAGGAACAUCGUGUGUGGACUUCUCCGGACAGUGGGCAAGAGCUGUGCCGCAAAAAUAGUGCUUGUUCUUGGCAUAAAGAGCUGUUUAUGUUCGCCGUAUGCGCUUUAAGUAUCAAGGUUCUACUACACCUUGUAAUGAUAACAUAACAAGCAAAAUAUUGAGCUUGUGUUGGUUCUAUCUCUGAAGGGUUUCAUUGCUUUGCAAUUUUGGAGCAGAGGAGUUUCAACGUGCUUCUUCUUAUCAUGUUUUUUUGUUGCCAAGGAUGUUUGGCUUCCUGUGAUAUAUGUGAAGAUCUUCUGAAGUAAAACAUGCAUCUUUUGGAACAUGAGUUUUGCCAUUUCAAACUAAAGACAGUCAAUUGUUCAAA